rnacentral:rRNA from 1 species
AACGGGUGAGUAACACGUGAGUAACCUGCCCCAGACUCCGGGAUAAGCCUUGGAAACGAGGUCUAAUACUGGAUACGAGAUGCCCCUGCAUGGGGAGUGUCUGGAAAGAUUUAUCGGUCUGGGAUGGACUCGCGGCCUAUCAGCUUGUUGGUGGGGUAAUGGCCUACCAAGGCGACGACGGGUAGCCGGCCUGAGAGGGCGACCGGCCACACUGGGACUGAGACACGGCCCAGACUCCUACGGGAGGCAGCAGUGGGGAAUAUUGCACAAUGGGCGAAAGCCUGAUGCAGCGACGCCGCGUGAGGGAUGAAGGCCUUCGGGUUGUAAACCUCUUUCAGCAGGGAAGAAGCGCAAGUGACGGUACCUGCAGAAGAAGCGCCGG